AAAGUUAAUGCUAUGAUCCAAGCUCGCUUUGCUGCCUUUUUUGAAACUUUCUCCCAAUCAAAAGCUUCAUCUUCCUCAAUGCAUGAACCUUGACCAAGUAAGAAUUUUUUACUUUUAAGAAAGUAGAAAAGUUAAAUAUGAUAUUUUUUUUUCUUGUUUUCAAUGAUCUAUAAGAGAGGAAUAUAAACAACAACCAAUCAGCUAUAGUAUACUUAGGUACAGUGCUGCAUUCUAAGAGUGUGAGAUCCAUAAUUUUUUAUAAUUCUAGGAAGGACAACUUUGAAUUGAGAUUCUUAAUAUAUAGUCAAUUCUUUUUUUUUAAAUUUUUUAUUUUAGAAAUUUAAUUGCUAACAUGCUUGAGCUCAUUUCUUGUGUAAUCCAUUGAAAACAUGGAUUGAAAACCUUUCUUGUUGUCUCAACUUUUCAAUAUGAGGUAUAAAUUUGCAAAUUAUAUGCAAAAAAAGGUUGCUUUAUUUUUUUUUUAAAUUUUUAGUGGAUAAUCUGUUGCUUAUCGAGAGGUUGCUAGACUUUAAUUACUCAAAACUUUAUUCUAGCCAAUCAUUUACUAAUCCAAACCUUGUUUAUAUGCAGGAAUAAUAUGGACAGCUACUUCUGUUGGCAUUAUGGGAGUACAUCAACUAGCUUCAAUUUGAAAAUAUGGAUGUCAUAGGCUAUUAGUUUUGAUCAGUUAAGUAGAAUGUAGGGUGCUUAUGAACUAUAGGUACUAGUUAGUAUUUUUUUUAAAUUAAUUUUGGAUGUUCUGUCGAAUUCCAAACAGUGAAAUUGAAAAUUCCUUGGAUGUCUUGGAUCAUGUACUGUUGGUUUUGAUCAAUUAAAUAGCAUAUGGAGUGCUUAUGAACUACUGGUACUAUCUUGUGAUUUUUAUUUUGGAUAUCUACUGAAAUGCAAACAUUGAGAAAGAUGUAUUUGGAUUCUUAGUUUGCUUGUGAAUGAGAUGAAUUUCUGUAGUCAUAAAUUGUCAUAAAAGAAUGGUACACUAAAUUUUAGUGACAAUAACAAGUUGUCACAUAUGAGAUUUUCCAUGACAACAAAAGUUCUUAUCACUUUAAGCUAUUUUAGUGACAAGAAACUUUAUCACUAAAUAGAGUCAUU
rnacentral:lncRNA from 1 species